CGCGGGCGUUGGCCCGACUGUGGCGCCGCCGCGCGCCCGUCUCCACACGCAGGGUGCCAUGGCCCGGGCCUGGCGCCGCGGGACGCUGGCCACGCAGCACGCCAGAGCAGACGACAUCCUCUGCAUGGGUGCUGCAGAAGUGAGGCAUCGACACUCAAAUGUGGGACUGUUGGUGUGUUGUGUCAUCUGGAGGAUGUCCCUUUGGCCCCGGUAAGGAUCAGAAACGUAGGCUGCCAGAUGGAAUAAGGCAGCUGCCGAUAUUGGAUGCAUAUCAGAGGGGCCAGUGCCCAAGAGAGGAAAUGCAUGCGGCUAGGAUGCACCAUGGUCUGGUUCUGGCUCAAGGACCAAGAAAUGCUCACAGUGAGGCUCUCCUGCCAAGAGACAGAAAACAAGCCCCUGAAAAGGAGAAUUCAGACUCUGUGUCCCAGGUCUCCUUAGCACAAUAUCUACUAGGUGUGAUAAGCAGAAACAACACAAGUAACUCAGCAAGCAUUUUAAGGAUGUCCAAGGAAAUGAAUGCAAACAUGCAAAAAGAUUUGUAUGAGAUUUGAAGCAUCAGAAUUGCAGCAAAUAUUCCAGGAAAACAUACAUCGCACAGUCAAAACUCCAUGAAAACCACCCUAGGAAUGGACCUUUGGAUUGGGUUGAUGGGUGUAUUUUAGAGAAAGAGAUUCCAGA
rnacentral:lncRNA from 1 species